GGACUCGAUAUUAAAGUUUCAGGGUCAAAGUCUUUUGGUAAAAUUAUCUUAAGACUCAUGUAAUUUGAGAAACAAAACGCAAGAUUUUGGUAAAAGACACAUUUUUUGGAAAAAGAAGUUUAUUGUAAACUUAAUUGAACGGGAGAUUGAUACCUUCAUCCACUAAAUCUGAUACUCGAAUAAAUAAAUCACAAGAUAAUGUCGAGUUUUUUUGUAUAUUGUGUAAUCAAAAGUUUAUAGCUCGUAUUGGUCGAACAUCCAACAUUAAGAAGCAUUUACAAAGAAAACAUCAAGACCAUUUGGGUAAGUGGUUUGACUCAUACGACACACUAAACAAAUUAAAUAAAAAUUGAAACGUGCUAGAUGCCGAUACUAUGUACGCUAUCAAGUUCUUUAUAACAUCAAACUGCUCGAUUAACGCUUUGAAUAAUCAUUUUUUGAGGAAAAUAGUCAAAGUUCCACUUCCUUGUGCAAAAAGUUUUAGAGAAAACGUGAUAUCAGAAACGAUGGCAAAAUUAUCAAACAUAGUUAUCACUUUGUUUAGAGAUAUAUGGACAUCUCCUGAAUGUUAGACUUUAUCGCGGUUGGUGCAACAUUAAGGAACAGUGGUUUAAAAAAAGAAAUUAUUAUUAUUGGUAUGAAACAGAUGAAGGGACGUCACAAUGCAGAAAAUAUUAAUUAGGAGUUGAAAAGAUUAUGAAUACCUUUACCUUUAUUAAAAACAAAAUGCUAUUACAUGUGAUGAAGGGAGUUCAUUCGUCAGACUGCUUAAGCAAUUAUUUGAAAAGUGUCAAGAAGAAAGAGUUGAAGAGACGAAAAGUGGCAAUAGUGCAUAUAAAGAUGAUCCAUUGCUGAACCAAGAGAUUGCCCUUUAUAUUGAAAAAGAAUAUAAUGAGCAGCUAAAAAUAGGUAAAGAUGAAGUCUUUAAUAAUGAAAUACAAACCUCAGAUGAACUUCUUCAAGUGCUAUUAGCUGAAUCAAGGAAUCUUACUUUUACGAAUGUUAUUCAGUUAGCUAAAACAGCUGAAGGAGUCAACAUCAAUUAUGUUGACUUCUUCAGCUGAAAAGAAUCUUUGAUAGAUUGCUGAUGUUUUGCCUGCAUUGACUAUUAUGAUUUCAAAAUGGGGUAGAAUGGAUUUACAAGGAAAUGGAAAAGAACAUGCUAACUUGUUAAUUUCUUCUUUCAAAUUAAAGUUUCAGUACGAACUUAACACAUGAAUUUAUUAAGUAGCAUCACUGUUGAAUAUCUCAAAGCUUAAAUUGUGGUUCUUUAGAUCUGUUUGUCAACUUAUUGUUACGGGAGCAGAAGAAAAGCUACAUGAAGUCCUGAGAUUUUCUACGCCACAUAAUAAAUGUCAAAGUGCUUCAGAAUCGUAACCAGGAUUUGAGCUUACAGAAACGAAAGAACGAUUGAGUUCAAAUGAUCAGCAAACUGAUUCGCUCAGCGGAUUUAUGCUAGAUGAUAACUAUUGCUUAGACGCUCGGCAACCUAAUUUACAACUUGAAAUUGAACUAAUUUACUUGAAAUGGAAAAAGGAAAAUUUUACUUUUUUAAGCAAAUCGAAGAGAAAGGACUUGCUCUAUCUGCGUAUCUUUCUUAUGAUUUUUGGUUCGAAAAUUCUAAAAUGCCAAUGUUACGAAAGUUAUUUGUCACCUUUCUAAAUAUUUCAUCAU
rnacentral:lncRNA from 1 species